GAGGGUAUAACUCAGUGGCAGAGUGUAUGCCUAGCAUGCAUGAGGUCCUGCGUUCAAUCCCCAUCACCUCCA
rnacentral:tRNA from 1 species